AUUUAUCUUCUUGUUUUAAAUUUGUAAGUCUAUUUAAUAAUGAUGUUGAUUACAUUUUCAGCUGCUUAUUGACCAAAUAAUUUCCCAUGUAAUUAAAUCAUUUUUUGUUGUUAUUGUUGUAGUGAUUGCUUUGUUCUAUUGAAAUUCCUUCUGAAUUACCCAGAUCGACAGGAGCAAAUCCUAUUGUCUGAUACCCAUAAAAGUCACUUACUCAUCUGGAUGCAAAUGAUAAAUUUCAAAGGCUGUUCUUUUUAGGAAUGAGAAAAGCAGUUGGGGCCAACGGCAAUGGGGCCGGCAAGAGACCGAACCCCACCAAUGGCCAAAGAAAAACUGAAACAUUCUGUUCACAGAGGAUGUAAUGUGAAGAAAAACCUAGGAAGCCAGAUCACUAUCUAAACCAGGGCCCCAGACAUAUGACCCCAGUCAAACCACCCUACCUACCUCCAGCCGUUCAAGCCUACUGAUAAGGAGUAAAUAAUUGAAUCAGGGAAAGAGAAGGGUGUUUCCUUCUGAGCAGGUUUCAAGGUGAGUAACAUAGUAGUAUUUCUUGGUAGCUUUAAGAGGCCGUGUUGUUAAUGCCUCAAAUUUAUCACAAGCAAGGGACAAAUUCCAUCAGACACUGGUUAAAAACUCCUGCAAGGAAUUGGUUGGCUGUCUGAUACUUGCCUGGUACAAGCACUUGGGUUGAAAUGAGUGGGCUCCUGUGAGCUGAGAAAGUGUCUCAGGUGCUUGAAGUUGUAAGUUGAACAAUAUUCAACUUACGUAAGUCCAUCUUGUCUUAAAUUCUCUUAAAUCUUUCCCCAGUUUAACUUUAUACUAAUAAAAGAGGAAAUCUUUUAGGAAGACUGUUGAAAAGAGUCUUGAAACUGGCAGCAAUAGACAGAGCUGAAAGGUCAUCAUGAACUCCUCAGACCCCUCGGAUUUGGAAACUGGAAAAUAUGAAGAUGUGCUUAUAAAGGUGGACAUCGCUGCUGCUAUCAACUCUUGGACUGAGUGAGAUCAGCAGAAAAGUGAAGUCCUCUGCUAAACAUCACUCAUCUUACACAGAGACUGUUCUAGCACAUAGUGGGUACUGCCAAAUAUCUAUUUACUAAUCAAUAAAUUUUCAGCACCUGGAAACCAUGUAUCAAACCACAUCCUUCCAAUAAAAUCAAUAAGCA
rnacentral:lncRNA from 1 species